rnacentral:lncRNA from 1 species
GCCGGCCUCAGUAAUUUAACAGUGGUCAAUGUUUUAAACCUAGCCUCUUUAAAACCAGCAACUAUUGGGAGGUGAAGCAUCAAAGCAAAGCAAAUAAAGGUCUGGGGACUAUUCUUGAGGAUACCUGAGGAACGACCUUGAAGCAGUCUGGAGUACUUGUCAUCUAGCCAACAGUAAAGGUGCCUGCUUUGAGACCCUGGGGUAUGACCCACGUAUGCUACUGACCUUGACUUGAGUGGUCUGACAAAUGUAG